rnacentral:rRNA from 1 species
GACGAACGCUGGCGGCGUGCUUAACACAUGCAAGUCGAACGGAAAGGCCCAGCUUGCUGGGUGCUCGAGUGGCGAACGGGUGAGUAACACGUGGGUGAUCUGCCCCUAACUUCGGGAUAAGCUUGGGAAACUGGGUCUAAUACCGGAUAGGACAAUCGUUUAGUGUCGGUUGUGGAAAGUUUUUUCGGUUAGGGAUGAGCCCGCGGCCUAUCAGCUUGUUGGUGGGGUAAUGGCCUACCAAGGCGUCGACGGGUAGCCGGCCUGAGAGGGUGGACGGCCACAUUGGGACUGAGAUACGGCCCAGACUCCUACGGGAGGCAGCAGUGGGGAAUAUUGCACAAUGGGCGCAGGCCUGAUGCAGUGACGCCGCGUGGGGGAUGACGGCCUUCGGGUUGUAAACCUCUUUCGACAGGGACGAAGCUUUGGUGACGGUACCUGUAUAAGAAGCACCGGCUAACUACGUGCCAGCCGCCGCAGUAA